CGGACAUCCACGGACUAAUCGGGUCUCUGCGUCAAAGUUGCCCUUGUGACUCGGCCUUUGCCCGCGGCGCAGAGAGUCGAUAGCUCAUCUACCCACCAUCCACGAUCCAAUGGCUGGUAGCAGAACCAGUUCUUAUGGUCAGUGACACGCCCACUCCGAGAAAUUGGAUCUUUUGCCCCCUGAGAAUGACGAGUGAGACCGAGGCACUUGCCAUUGAGAUAAGCAUGAGAUUCGUUAGGAGAUGGCGCGAGAGGGAGUAGGGGCAGCCAUGGCGCCCGCAGCGGCGGAAGUGAGGUACGGGAUAGUUGGGGUCGGGAUGAUGGGGAGGGAGCACCUCCACAACCUCGCCCACCUCGCCGGAGAAGUCGAGCGGGAGCAGUCCGUCCGCGUCUGCGUCACCUGCCUCGCCGACCCCCACCCGGAGUCCCUCCUCCUUGGCCUCCGCCUCGCUGCGGAGCUUGGCCUGCCACCUCCCCAGACAUUUUCAGGUCACCGCGAGUUGCUGGACAGCGGGCUCUGUGACGCCGUUGUUGUGUCGUCGCCAAACAUGACACACUCUGAGAUACUCAUGGACAUCAUUGGUUAUGCCAAGCCGCACCAUGUUCUUGUUGAGAAGCCUCUGUGCACCACUGUACAGGACUGCGAGAAGGUCAUAGAGGCUGCCAAACAUAGGCCAGACAUACUCGUGCAAGUCGGAUUAGAAUACCGGUAUAUGCCGCCGGUGGCUAAGCUGAUAGAUAUUGUUAAAAGUGGCACACUAGGGCAGGUCAGAAUGGUGGCUAUCCGUGAACACCGGUUUCCUUUCCUUGUUAAGGUGAAAAACUGGAAUAGGUUUAAUUACAACAGUGGGGGAACUCUGGUUGAGAAGUGCUGCCACUUUUUUGAUUUGAUAAGAUUGUUUGCAGAUGCGAACCCUGUUCGUGUGAUGGCCUCUGGAGCUAUUGAUGUUAACCAUAAGGAUGAGGUUUAUGAUGGAAAGGUACCAGAUAUAAUUGAUAAUGCAUAUGUGAUCGUAGAAUUCGAUAAUGGCUGUCGUGGCAUGCUUGAUCUCUGCAUGUUUGCUGAAGGCAGUAAAAAUGAGCAGGAAAUUUCUGUUGUUGGUGACACUGGAAAGGGCGAGGCUUUUGUUCCAGAGGGCGUUGUGAGGGUUGGAAAGCGAGCAGGAGGCAGAGAUGGAGUUGUAACGGUAAAGGCCGAAGAUGAACGAAUCAAGUACCAGGGGCUUCACCAUGGAUCUAGCUACUUGGAGCACCUGAAUUUCCUGUCUGCCAUCAGGGCACAAGGUGCAUGUAGCCCAGCUAUCAGCUUGGAUGACGGCUUACUAUCUGUUGCAAUUGGUGUGGCUGGCCAAUUGUCGAUCGAGAAAGGCCGUUUCGUCACCAUUGAGGAGGUGCUAUCAAGCUGAUAAUGAGCGAUUUAUCGAUGUACUACAGAUUUCGUAUCAGUUGUAUACAUCUGUAAUAGCAUAAGCUGAUUUUCUUCAACUUGCAUGCAUUGGGUAAUUGCCUGUCUUGCGCAGUAAGCUGUUAAGGAAUGUUCAUGUUCCCUUUUUUGUUCUUUCUAAGAGCAAGUGAUCCACAAACUCGGCAACGAUGAUCAUGUAUGUAUGUAUGUAUGUAUAUUCCAGGCAUCAAAUGAUUUCAGCUAUCUGCCUUUGAUUCC
rnacentral:rRNA from 1 species